AUGUAAAUUGCGAGACAAAUCUUUUGAACCUAAUUACGCCAUGAUUUGACAAUGUGAUGCUACAGAUCAUGGCACCACAUUGUCAAAUCAUGAUGUAAUUAGGCUCAAAAGAUUUGUCUCGCAAUUUACAU
rnacentral:pre_miRNA from 1 species